UACGUAGGCAGCAAGCGUUUGUUCGGAAUUACUGGGCGUAAAGAGUGUGUAGGCGGUGUUCUAAGUUUGUCGUGAAAUCUCCCGGCUUAACUGGGAGGGUGCGGCGAAAACUGGAAUGCUAGAGGAUGGGAGAGGUAAGCGGAAUUCCUGGUGUAGCGGUGAAAUGCGUAGAUAUCAGGAGGAACACCUGUGGUGUAGACAGCUUACUGGACCAUUUCUGACGCUGAGACACGAAAGCGUGGGUAGCAAACAGG
rnacentral:rRNA from 1 species